rnacentral:rRNA from 1 species
AUUGAACGCUAGCGGGAUGCUUUACACAUGCAAGUCGAACGGCAGCGCGGACUUCGGUCUGGCGGCGAGUGGCGAACGGGUGAGUAAUGUAUCGGAACGUGCCCAGUAGCGGGGGAUAACUACGCGAAAGCGUAGCUAAUACCGCAUACGCCCUACGGGGGAAAGCAGGGGAUCGUAAGACCUUGCACUAUUGGAGCGGCCGAUAUCGGAUUAGCUAGUUGGUGAGGUAACGGCUCACCAAGGCGACGAUCCGUAGCUGGUUUGAGAGGACGACCAGCCACACUGGGACUGAGACACGGCCCAGACUCCUACGGGAGGCAGCAGUGGGGAAUUUUGGACAAUGGGGGCAACCCUGAUCCAGCCAUCCCGCGUGUGCGAUGAAGGCCUUCGGGUUGUAAAGCACUUUUGGCAGGAAAGAAACGUCGCGGGCUAAUACCCCGUGGAACUGACGGUACCUACAGAAUAAGCACCGGCUAACUACGUG